GAUGAUGGUGAUGAUGAUGGUGAUGAUGGUGAUGAUGGUGAUGAUGAUGGUGAUGAUGAUAAUGGUGAUGAUGAUGGUGGUGAUGAUGAUGGUGAUGAUGGUGAUGAUGAUGGUGAUGAUGCCAAGUUACUGAGAGGUGAGAGAUGUUCUUAAUAGCUUAUUACUCAUGUGGCAUCAGCAUGACCCAAGAUCUUUAGGGGAUUCUGAUGCACAUGAAAGCAUUGCUCUAAAAGCCCUGAGUCUAGUAGGGGAGGCAGACAUGGUCAUAAUGAAAAUGUCAUAGUGUCAUAUAAACACGGUAUGUAGGGGGCAGAGUUGGAAAGAUUUCACUAUGGACUUGAUGUUUGGGUGGGGCCUCAAGAAGCGUCUGUUAAAGCAGGAUGAGGGAUGAUCAUUCUUGACAGAAGGAGUCACCUGUGCAAAAACAGGGUCUCCCUUGAAGGGGCCUGUAGAAGAUACUAUAGAGAUGGUGCUCAGUGCUAGGGGGUGAGGAAAGACUCAGGGAGAGAGUUGCCCUCCAGGGAAGGUAUGUAGAGGGAGACAAAACAAGGGCAAGGACUGACCCAAGAAACCCAAUGUUAUGGAGGAAACAUGUGAGACAAUAAGACUGAGAAGUGGGCAUAUCUGAGGGAAUGAGAGGAAUUGACAUCUGUAGGAUACUCUAGAGAUG